CAAGCGAAUAAGUGCACAUGGUGGAUGCCUUGGCGAUUACAGGCGAUGAAGGACGUAGUAGCUUGCGAUAAGCUGCGGGGAGUGAGCAAACACACUUUGAUCCGCAGAUUUCCGAAUGGGGAAACCCGGCCCUUUGGGUCAUUGCAUACUGAAUACAUAGGUAUGCAAAGCGAACGCGGCGAACUGAAACAUCUAAGUAGCUGCAGGAAAAGAAAUCAACCGAGAUUCCCAAAGUAGUGGCGAGCGAAAUGGGAAGAGCCUGUACGUGAUAGUCGACUGAAUAGUGGAACAACCUGGAAAUGUUGGCCAUAGCGGGUGAUAGCCCCGUACACGAAAUUCAGACGGUGGUACUAAGCGUACGACAAGUAGGGCGGGACACGAGAAAUCCUGUCUGAACAUGGGGGGACCAUCCUCCAAGGCUAAAUACUCGUAAUCGACCGAUAGUGAACCAGUACCGUGAGGGAAAGGCGAAAAGAACCCCGGGAGGGGAGUGAAAUAGAUCCUGAAACCGUGUGCAUACAAACAGUCGGAGCCUCUUGAUGGGGUGACGGCGUACCUUUUGUAUAAUGGGUCAGCGACUUACAUUCAGUGGCGAGGUUAACCGAAUAGGGGAGCCGUAGAGAAAUCGAGUCCGAACAGGGCGACAGUCGCUGGGUGUAGACCCGAAACCAGGUGAUCUACCCAUGGCCAGGAUGAAGGUGCGGUAACACGCCCUGGAGGUCCGAACCCACUAAUGUUGAAAAAUUAGGGGAUGAGCUGUGGGUAGGGGUGAAAGGCUAAACAAACCUGGAAAUAGCUGGUUCUCUCCGAAAACUAUUUAGGUAGUGCCUCAAGUAUCACCAUCGGGGGUAGAGCACUGUUAUGGCUAGGGGGUCAUUGCGACUUACCAAACCAUUGCAAACUCCGAAUACCGAUGAGUGCGAGCUUGGGAGACAGACGUCGGGUGCUAACGUCCGGCGUCAAGAGGGAAACAACCCAGACCGCCAGCUAAGGUCCCAAAGAUUGGCUAAGUGGAAAACGAAGUGGGAAGGCUAAAACAGUCAGGAUGUUGGCUUAGAAGCAGCCACCAUUUAAAGAAAGCGUAAUAGCUCACUGAUCGAGUCGUCCUGCGCGGAAGAUGUAACGGGGCUAAGCCAGUCACCGAAGCUGCGGAUAUCUAGCAAUAGAUAUGGUAGGAGAGCGUUCUGUAAGCCUGCGAAGGUGUCUUGUGAAGGAUGCUGGAGGUAUCAGAAGUGCGAAUGCUGACAUGAGUAGCGAUAAUGCGGGUGAAAAGCCCGCACGCCGUAAGCCCAAGGUUUCCUGUUCAACGUUCAUCGGAGCAGGGUGAGUCGGCCCCUAAGGCGAGGCAGAGAUGCGUAGCUGAUGGGAAGCAGGUUAAUAUUCCUGCACCGUCGUAUGAUGCGAUGGGGGGACGGAUCGCGGAAGGUUGUCCAGCUGUUGGAAUAGCUGGUUUCUGGUUCAUAGAAGGCGCUUAGGCAAAUCCGGGCGCAGGAUUCAAGGGACUGGGACGGGCACCCAUGUGGUGCGAAGCAAUCGGAAGUGGUUCCAAGAAAAGCCUCUAAGCUUCAGUCAUACGAGACCGUACCGCAAACCGACACAGGUGGGCGAGAUGAGUAUUCUAAGGCGCUUGAGAGAACUCGGGAGAAGGAACUCGGCAAAUUGGUACCGUAACUUCGGGAUAAGGUACGCCCCGGUAGCUUGACUGCUUUACUGCAGAAGGGUGAAAGGGUUGCAAUAAACUGGUGGCUGCGACUGUUUAAUAAAAACACAGCACUCUGCAAACACGAAAGUGGACGUAUAGGGUGUGACGCCUGCCCGGUGCUGGAAGAUUAAAUGAUGGGGUGCAAGCUCUUGAUUGAAGUCCCAGUAAACGGCGGCCGUAACUAUAACGGUCCUAAGGUAGCGAAAUUCCUUGUCGGGUAAGUUCCGACCUGCACGAAUGGCGUAACGAUGGCCACACUGUCUCCUCCCGAGACUCAGCGAAGUUGAAAUGUUUGUGAUGAUGCAAUCUACCCGCGGCUAGACGGAAAGACCCCAUGAACCUUUACUGUAGCUUUGCAUUGGACUUUGAACCAAUCUGUGUAGGAUAGGUGGGAGGCUUUGAAGCGGGGACGCCAGUUCCCGUGGAGCCAUCCUUGAAAUACCACCCUGGUUUGUUUGAGGUUCUAACCUUGGUCCGUUAUCCGGAUCGGGGACAGUGCAUGGUAGGCAGUUUGACUGGGGCGGUCUCCUCCUAAAGUGUAACGGAGGAGUUCGAAGGUACGCUAGGUACGGUCGGACAUCGUGCUAAUAGUGCAAUGGCAUAAGCGUGCUUAACUGCGAGACCGACAAGUCGAGCAGGUACGAAAGUAGGACAUAGUGAUCCGGUGGUUCUGUAUGGAAGGGCCAUCGCUCAACGGAUAAAAGGUACUCUGGGGAUAACAGGCUGAUUCCUCCCAAGAGUUCAUAUCGACGGGGGAGUUUGGCACCUCGAUGUCGGCUCAUCACAUCCUGGGGCUGUAGCCGGUCCCAAGGGUAUGGCUGUUCGCCAUUUAAAGUGGUACGUGAGCUGGGUUUAAAACGUCGUGAGACAGUUUGGUCCCUAUCUGCCGUGGGCGUUGGAAAUUUGAAGGGGGCUGCUCCUAGUACGAGAGGACCGGAGUGGACGAACCUCUGGUGUACCGGUUGUCACGCCAGUGGCAUUGCCGGGUAGCUAAGUUCGGAAGAGAUAACCGCUGAAAGCAUCUAAGCGGGAAACUUGCCUUAAGAUGAGAUUUCCCGGAGCCUUGAGCUCCUUGAAGGGUCGUUCGAGACCAGGACGUUGAUAGGCUGGGUGUGGAAGUGCAGUAAUGCAUUAAGCUAACCAGUACUAAUUGCCCGUACGGCUUGUCCC
rnacentral:rRNA from 1 species